rnacentral:rRNA from 1 species
UACGUAGGGGGCUAGCGUUGUCCGGAUUUAUUGGGCGUAAAGAGCGUGUAGGCGGCCAGGUAGGUCUGCUGUGAAAACUCGAGGCUUAACCUCGAGAUGUCGGCGGAAACCAUCUGGCUAGAGUCCGGAAGAGGAGAGUGGAAUUUCCGGUGGAGCGGUGAAAUGCGUAGAGAUCGGAAAGAACACCAACGGCGAAAGCACUCUGCUGGGCCGACACUGACACUGAGAGACGAAAGCUAGGGGAGCGAAUGGG